rnacentral:rRNA from 1 species
GCUUGUCUCAAAGAUUAAGCCAUGCAUGUCUCAGUAUAAGUUCCUGUACGGCGAAACUGCGAAUGGCUCAUUAAAACAGUUAUAGUUUAUUUGAUGGUCGUUCCUUACAUGGAUAACUGUGGUAAUUCUAGAGCUAAUACAUGCACCCAUGCCCGACUUUGUGGAAGGGUUGUGUUUAUUAGAUAACAGACCAAUAUUCCUCGUGUCUAUUGUGGUGAAUCAUAGUAACUGAUCGGAUCGCAUGGGCUACGCCCGCGACAAACCAUUCAAGUUUCUGCCCCAUCAGCUUUCGAUGGUAGUGUAUUGGACUACCAUGGCUUUUACGGGUAACGGAGGAUUAGGGUUCGAUUCCGGAGAGGGAGCCUGAGAAACGGCUACCACAUCUAAGGAAGGCAGCAGG